GCAAGUCGAACGGUAACUUUUGGUGCUUGCACCGAAAGACGAGUGGCGAACGGGUGCGUAACGCGUAUGCAAUCUGCCUUUUACUAGGGUAUAGCCCAGAGAAAUUUGGAUUAAUCCCCUAUAAUAUCAUUUAAUCGCAUGAUUUUAUGAUUAAAGCUUCGGCGGUAAAAGAUGAGCAUGCGUCCUAUUAGUUAGUAGGUGAGGUAACGGCUCACCUAGACUCCGAUAGGUAGGGGUCCUGAGAGGGAGAUCCCCCACACUGGUACUGAGACACGGACCAGACUCCUACGGGAGGCAGCAGUGAGGAAUAUUGGACAAUGGACGAAAGUCUGAUCCAGCUAUGCCGCGUGCAGGAUGACGGCCCUAUGGGUUGUAAACUGCUUUUAUACAGGAAGAAAAACUCCGACGUGUCGGAACUUGACGGUACUGUAAGAAUAAGGAUCGGCUAACUCCGUGCCAGCAGCCGCGGUAAUACGGAGGAUCCAAGCGUUAUCCGGAAUCAUUGGGUUUAAAGGGUCCGUAGGCGGUUUUUUAAGUCAGAGGUGAAAUCCUGCAGCUCAACUGUAGAAUGGCCUUUGAUACUGAAAGACUUGAGUUAUUGUGAAGUGGUUAGAAUGUGUGGUG
rnacentral:rRNA from 1 species